rnacentral:rRNA from 1 species
AUUGAACGCUGGCGGCAUGCUUUACACAUGCAAGUCGGACGGCAGCACAGAGAAGCUUGCUUCUUGGGUGGCGAGUGGCGAACGGGUGAGUAACAUAUCGGAACGUACCGAGCAGUGGGGGAUAACUAAUCGAAAGAUUAGCUAAUACCGCAUAUAUUCUGAGGAAGAAAGCAGGGGACCAUUUGGCCUUGCGCUGUUUGAGCGGCCGAUAUCUGAUUAGCUAGUUGGUGGGGUAAAGGCCUACCAAGGCGACGAUCAGUAGCGGGUCUGAGAGGAUGAUCCGCCACACUGGGACUGAGACACGGCCCAGACUCCUACGGGAGGCAGCAGUGGGGAAUUUUGGACAAUGGGCGCAAGCCUGAUCCAGCCAUGCCGCGUGUCUGAAGAAGGCCUUCGGGUUGUAAAGGACUUUUGUCAGGGAAGAAAAGGACAGGGUUAAUACCC